rnacentral:rRNA from 1 species
CCUACGGGGUGCAGCAGUGGGGAAUAUUGCGCAAUGGGCGAACGCCUGCCGCAGCGACGCCGCGUGAGGGAUGAAGGUCUUCGGAUCGUAAACCUCUGUCAGCAGGGACGAACGGUCACUGUGCUAAUCAGCAGUGAAUUGCCGGUACCUGCAAAGGAAGCACCGGCUAACUACGUGCCAGCAGCCGCGGUAAUACGGAGGGUGCGAGCGUUAAUCGGAAUUACUGGGCGUAAAGCGCUCGUAGGCGUGAUGUCAAGUCCAGGGUGACAUCCCCGCGCUCAACGUGGGAACUGCCUUUGAAACUGGCAUACUGGAGGGUGGGAGAGGAUAGUGGAAUUCCUGGUGUAGGAGUGAAAUCCGUAGAUAUCUGGAGGAACAUCAGUGGCGAAGGCGACUAUCUGGCACAUAACUGACGCUGAGGAGCGAAAGCGUGGGUAGCAAACAGGAUUAGAUACCCCAGUAGUC